AGUGGCGCACGGGUGAGUAAUAUAUAGGUAACGUGCCCUAGAGAAGAGGAUAACAGUUGGAAACGAUUGCUAAGACUCUAUAUGCCUUUAAGACUUAAGUCUGCAAGGGAAAUAUUUAUAGCUCUAGGAUCGGCCUGUACGGUAUCAGUUAGUUGGUGAGGUAAUGGCUCACCAAGACAAUGACGCCUAACUGGUUUGAGAGGAUGAUCAGUCACACUGGAACUGAGACACGGUCCAGACUCCUACGGGAGGCAGCAGUGGGGAAUAUUGCACAAUGGACGAAAGUCUGAUGCAGCAACGCCGCGUGGAGGAUGACACAUUUCGGUGCGUAAACUCCUUUUAUAUGGGAAGAUAAUGACGGUACCAUAUGAAUAAGCACCGGCUAACUCCGUGCCAGCAGCCGCGGUAAUACGGAGGGUGCAAGCGUUACUCGGAAUCACUGGGCGUAAAGAGCGUGUAGGCGGGUAGUUAAGUCAGAAGUGAAAUCCAAUAGCUCAACUAUUGAACUGCUUUUGAAACUGAUUACCUAGAAUAUGGGAGAGGUAGAUGGAAUUUCUGGUGUAGGGGUAAAAUCCGUAGAGAUCAGAAGGAAUACCGAUUGCGAAGGCGAUCUACUGGAACAUUAUUGACGCUGAGACGCGAAAGC
rnacentral:rRNA from 1 species